rnacentral:rRNA from 1 species
UACAGAGGUCUCAAGCGUUUGUUCGGAUUCAUUGGGCGUAAAGGGUGCGUAGGUGGCGUCGUAAGUCAGGUGUGAAAUCUCGGGGCUCAACCCCGAAACUGCACUUGAUACUGCGAUGCUCGAGUACUGGAGAGGAGAUUGGAAUUUACGGUGUAGCAGUGAAAUGCGUAGAUAUCGUAAGGAAGACCAGUGGCGAAGGCGAAUCUCUGGACAGUUACUGACACUGAGGCACGAAGGCCAGGGGAGCAAACGGG